CAGAGAACCAUCCAACUUACAAUCUGCAAAGGAGCUACUUCUGCAGCUGUGGCUGUGCUGGCAUGUGUGCUUGUUCUACUUCUUAUUUUGAUCGUGUUUCUUGGUUUCAAGCUCUUCUGUCAGAAAARAAGCCUUCCAGUCCCAACUGAUAAAAAUGGUGAUCCUGGAG